rnacentral:rRNA from 1 species
GAUGAACGCUGGCGGCGUGCCUAAUACAUGCAAGUAGAACGCUGAAGCUUGGUGCUUGCACCGAGCGGAUGAGUUGCAAACGGGUGAGUAACGCGUAGGUAACCUGCCUCUUAGCGGGGGAUAACUAUUGGAAACGAUAGCUAAUACCGCAUAAAAGUUGACAUUGCAUGAUGUUGAUUUGAAAGAUGCAAUUGCAUCACUAAGAGAUGGACCUGCGUUGUAUUAGCUAGUUGGUGAAGUAACGGCUCACCAAGGCGACGAUACAUAGCCGACCUGAGAGGGUGAUCGGCCACACUGGGACUGAGACACGGCCCAGACUCCUACGGGAGGCAGCAGUAGGGAAUCUUCGGCAAUGGACGGAAGUCUGACCGAGCAACGCCGCGUGAGUGAAGAAGGUUUUCGGAUCGUAAAGCUCGGUUGUAAGAGAAGAACGAGUGUGAGAGUGGAAAGUUCACACUGUGACGGUAACUUACCAGAAAGGGACGGCUAACUACGUG